UACGUAGGGUGCAAGCGUUGUCCGGAAUUAUUGGGCGUAAAGAGCUCGUAGGCGGUCUGUCGCGUCUGCUGUGAAAACUCGGGGCUUAACCCCGGGCCUGCAGUGGGUACGGGCAGACUAGAGUGCGGUAGGGGAGACUGGAAUUCCUGGUGUAGCGGUGAAAUGCGCAGAUAUCAGGAGGAACACCGGUGGCGAAGGCGGGUCUCUGGGCCGGAACUGACGCUGAGGAGCGAAAGCAUGGGGAGCGAACAGG
rnacentral:rRNA from 1 species